GGAAAGAUGGAGAGAUGAAUCAGAUGAACCAGCUCCUUUAAGAACCAGUAUUUCCACCCACAGACACGCCAGUAAUGGUGGUCCUUCUUUCUCCAAGCUCUUCUGCUCUGGAAGGAACCCUGGCUACCCUGCAGUGGUGCGUGACACUAUGGCCAAGGGAGACUUUUGAGGAGAGCUCUUGAGCGGAGACAAUCCAUGUUUUCAUGGAAGCUUCUCUGCCUCAGCUGAACGAACACAGGACUAUGUCUCAGGAUCAAAUUCACUGAGAGAUAUUAAUUAAUGCCUUCGCUACAGAAGAGACCAGAGUGCCAAAGAGAGCGCGCAAGUAUGCAGACUGGCAGGCAUAGGGAGAGGGAGCAGCAGGCUCUCUGCUGGCCAGAGAGCUGGGCAGGGAGCCCAACUCGGGCCUCAAUCCCAGGACCCUGGCAUCAUGACCUGAGGUAAGGCAGCCACUUAACCGACUGAGCCACCCAGGUGCCCCUUAAGUGAUGAG
rnacentral:lncRNA from 1 species